UCGGUCUCUCUGUCUAAAAUAAACCGAGGUGGUCCCUGGUCUGGGCGUCCUAGGACGUGUCUGAACACCCCGCGGAGGAAGAAGACAGCACCAGCCACUGCUGGCACGGGGCUGCAGCCCCUGGCUACACACACCUCCGAAAGACAGCGGCGACUUCGGACACCUCUCUCCCGCCCCAGCCUGACUCCCCAGGGGCGGUGUGAAACCACAAGUGAUAAUAUCUCCCAUCGCCAGCUUUGAACUUCAGAUAGAAGGAGACCUUAUGGCAGUUGGACUAUCUGAGAGACCUGGUGCCCUGUGCCGCCUCCUGCAUAAUGCAUGCGCGCGUGGUAGGAACAGAACCCCGUCCGUGGUGAGUCUGGCCGCUGUGGGCCAUGGACGUGUCCAGAGGCCUUGCCAAGGCUGGUGUCUCUAGGAUGUUGGCAGGAGUUGAGGAGACAGAGGGAGUAUGUGUCACCUGAAAAUUUUCCUGGGGCUGAGGUGGGAACAGGUUGCAUCUUGAGCCUCAGGAUUCUGCAAAGAAAAUAGGGGAAGACAUGAGUUCCCAUGGCUCAGCGGUAAGGAACCAAAAUAAUACCCACGAGGACGUGGGUUUGAUCCUUGGCCCUGAUCAGUGGGUUAAGGAUCCGGCAUUGCUGUGAGAUGUGGUGUAGGCUGCAGACUUAGCUUGAAUCCUGCAUUGCUGGCUGUGGGGUAGGUCAGCAGCUGCAGCUCUGAUCUGCAGACCCUAAAAAAGAAAAAAAGAAAAAAAAAAGUGGGCAGUCAGAGUGCCUCACAAGCCCAGGGAAGGCAUCACCUCAUUGGUUGGAUUCCACUCAUUCAUAGAAUCAGUAAGUACUCAAGGCCAAGCUAACUGCUAGGGCUUAAGAUAUGAAGAUGAGGAGUUCCCAUUGUGGCUCAGUGGUUAACGAAGCCAACUAGGAACCAUGAGGUUGUGGGUUCGAUCCCUGGCCUCACUCAGUGGGUUAAGGAUCUGGCGUUGCCUCGAGCUGUGGUGUAGGUCGCAGACUCAGCUCAGAUCCCACAUUGCUGUGGCUCUGGCGUAGGCCAGCGGCUACAGCUCCAAUUGGACCCCUAGCCUGGGAACCUCCAUAUGCCCCGGGUGCAGCCCUAGAAAAAAAAGACAUGAAGAUGAAUCAGGGGAGUUCCUGCUGUGGCUCAGUAGGUUAAGGAC
rnacentral:lncRNA from 1 species